rnacentral:piRNA from 1 species
UGGGCUUUUUUCUUUGGUGAAACAAUGUGU